CGGUAAGGUAGUUCCCUGUAAUGUUUUUUUUCCUAUCUGCACCUAGUACCAUUGAAUACUGUUUCAUAUGCCUUAUUUCGUACUUUUAUUAAGGACUCUGACAGUAACAAUGCUGUCCGCUAGAAGCAAUUUCAGGCAAAUGACCUUAUACUAAUUAACCAUUUUUUUAGUGAAUGUGUCAUGAUAACUGGUUCAUUAUAUUAGGCAUAUCCACAUGUCAUUCAAAUUUGAGUGCAUUAAUAACUUUACUAUUUAAACAAAUCAUUUUCUAUUUGAGCCAUAUCCAGGUUUUGUAAAUUUUUCACAAUCUAGAGUUUCUUUGUCUUGGCUCUUCCAUGAGAUGGGUCCUCUUGGGAUUAAUAACCUUUUAUUGAUUACUAUUUGAAGUUAUGCAGUAAAGGGUGGAUCGAAGUGUCGAUUCCAUAGUUGCCAAAUGCUAUAUGAGCUAGCCUAUGGAACACCAGGUGCUCAUGGAGCUGGCUCCUUGGAAGCUCAGCCUCAGGCAAGUUAGAAUGAUGUGGAAGCUUGACUAGUUUUUUUUUCCGGCAAGACAU